AAAUUGAAGAGUUUGAUCAUGGCUCAGAUUGAACGCUGGCGGCAGGCCUAACACAUGCAAGUCGAGCGGAAACGAGUUAUCAGAACCUUCGGGGGACGAUAACGGCGUCGAGCGGCGGACGGGUGAGUAAUGCCUAGGAAAUUGCCCUGAUGUGGGGGAUAACCAUUGGAAACGAUGGCUAAUACCGCAUGAUGCCUACGGGCCAAAGAGGGGGACCUUCGGGCCUCUCGCGUCAGGAUAUGCCUAGGUGGGAUUAGCUAGUUGGUGAGGUAAGGGCUCACCAAGGCGACGAUCCCUAGCUGGUCUGAGAGGAUGAUCAGCCACACUGGAACUGAGACACGGUCCAGACUCCUACGGGAGGCAGCAGUGGGGAAUAUUGCACAAUGGGCGCAAGCCUGAUGCAGCCAUGCCGCGUGUGUGAAGAAGGCCUUCGGGUUGUAAAGCACUUUCAGUCGUGAGGAAGGCGGCGUCGUUA
rnacentral:rRNA from 1 species